rnacentral:tRNA from 1 species
AAGAAAGUGGCAGAUUGGUGAUGCGUUUGACUUGAAAUCAUAUAAAGGGGGUUCGAUUCCCUUCUUUCUCG